GGGCUGUGUACUGUUUCAGUAUUUUUAUUUUCAGGAGGAACUGAGUCCUUCGCAUCCCCUUCCAUGUUGGAGACAGUUCCACUAUAGGUUGGAACCCCUUUCUGCUCGGCUGGAUCUAGCGGAGACGAGAUCACUGAAUUCCCAGAAGCAGAUCACGCGGACUCUGGAAUGGUGGAUUUCAAGCAAGAUGUAUCAUGGAGAAAGGUCUCAAUUCCUACGUUUCUUUGUUUCAUCAUUGAAAAUGGCCAUUCACUAUGUGUCUUGAAUAUGAUGUAUGCAGCUGCUGUCACUGCCUUCGCUGUCCAUCCCCUGCUGCUGAUACAAUGAUCCCUCUCUAGCUUCCAGGCUCAGAGCCAGCCUAGGCACUGCCUCCCGCUGUGCUGUCCUACUGCUUCCGGGAUCCUGCAUCAUUGCCCUCAUUGUAUGUGACUACGCUGAUUGUCUGAUUAUCACACGGAAUACAGAACCUACCCAAGGCUUGGCAUCAGUAAAGCUUGGAAUUAAGUGAGGUCUGUCUAAUUCCAAAGCUCAGGCUCUUUCAACGGCCACAGCUGAUCAAUCACCCCAUGAUUAAAAAUAACUCACUAUCCAAAGCCCGCA
rnacentral:lncRNA from 1 species